AAGGUGGCCUGUGAGGGUUGCUGGAGGUAUCAGAAGUGCGAAUGCUGACAUAAGUAACGAUAAAGCGGGUGAAAAGCCCGCUCGCCGGAAGACCAAGGGUUCCUGUCCAACGUUAAUCGGGGCAGGGUGAGUCGACCCCUAAGGCGAGGCCGAAAGGCGUAGUCGAUGGGAAACGGGUUAAUAUUCCCGUACUUGGUGUUACUGCGAAGGGGGGACGGAGAAGGCUAUGUUGGCCGGGCGACGGUUGUCCCGGUUUAAGCGUGUAGGCUGGUUUUCCAGGCAAAUCCGGAAAAUCAAGGCUGAGGCGUGACGACGAGGCACUACGGUGCUGAAGCAACAAAUGCCCUGCUUCCAGGAAAAGCCUCUAAGCAUCAGGUAACAUCAAAUCGUACCCCAAACCGACACAGGUGGUCAGGUAGAGAAUACCAAGGCGCUUGAGAGAACUCGGGUGAAGGAACUAGGCAAAAUGGUGCCGUAACUUCGGGAGAAGGCACGCUGACAUGUAGGUGAAGUGAUUUACUCAUGGAGCUGAAGUCAGUCGAAGAUACCAGCUGGCUGCAACUGUUUAUUAAAAACACAGCACUGUGCAAACACGAAAGUGGACGUAUACGGUGUGACGCCUGCCCGGUGCCGGAAGGUUAAUUGAUGGGGUCAGCGCAAGCGAAGCUCCUGAUCGAAGCCCCGGUAAACGGCGGCCGUAACUAUAACGGUCCUAAGGUAGCGAAAUUCCUUGUCGGGUAAGUUCCGACCUGCACGAAUGGCGUAAUGAUGGCCAGGCUGUCUCCACCCGAGACUCAGUGAAAUUGAACUCGCUGUGAAGAUGCAGUGUACCCGCGGCAAGACGGAAAGACCCCGUGAACCUUUACUAUAGCUUGACACUGAACAUUGAGCCUUGAUGUGUAGGAUAGGUGGGAGGCUUUGAAGUGUGGACGCCAGUCUGCAUGGAGCCGACCUUGAAAUACCACCCUUUAAUGUUUGAUGUUCUAACGUGGACCCGUUACCCGGGUUGCGGACAGUGUCUGGUGGGUAGUUUGACUGGGGCGGUCUCCUCCUAAAGAGUAACGGAGGAGCACGAAGGUUGGCUAAUCCUGGUCGGACAUCAGGAGGUUAGUGCAAUGGCAUAAGCCAGCUUGACUGCGAGCGUGACGGCGCGAGCAGGUGCGAAAGCAGGUCAUAGUGAUCCGGUGGUUCUGAAUGGAAGGGCCAUCGCUCAACGGAUAAAAGGUACUCCGGGGAUAACAGGCUGAUACCGCCCAAGAGUUCAUAUCGACGGCGGUGUUUGGCACCUCGAUGUCGGCUCAUCACAUCCUGGGGCUGAAGUAGGUCCCAAGGGUAUGGCUGUUCGCCAUUUAAAGUGGUACGCGAGCUGGGUUUAGAACGUCGUGAGACAGUUCGGUCCCUAUCUGCCGUGGGCGCUGGAGAACUGAGGGGGGCUGCUCCUAGUACGAGAGGACCGGAGUGGACGCAUCACUGGUGUUCGGGUUGUCAUGCCAAUGGCACUGCCCGGUAGCUAAAUGCGGAAGAGAUAAGUGCUGAAAGCAUCUAAGCACGAAACUUGCCCCGAGAUGAGUUCU
rnacentral:rRNA from 1 species